rnacentral:misc_RNA from 1 species
GGAGGGAUCAUUAACACGUAUCCAACACGUUCAAACCCAAACCGUGCUCUUUAAUUCCCAUACGGAAAAGGUGACUAGUAAGCCAUGGAUGGAUUUCUCGCUCUCAAGAGUUCUCUCUGGGGUGUCGAGAACUACUUACAGUCUAUCGAUCCUUUGAGAUCAGCCUAUUCUGCUAUGGUGUAAUCUCCAAGCCAUCUGGGUUACUAGUACCAACCCGGUUUCGACCCGGAGUCUAGUAGCCUUACUCAACCCUAUUUUUUAACCCCUUUAUUUUACUAUUUUACUGACUUACACAAAACUUGCAUUUAAUUUUGCAGUUUUGUAUACGAAACGCGAACAACUCUUAGCAAUGGAUAUCUUGGUUCUCGUACCGAUGAAGAACGCAGCGAAAUGCGAUACGUAAUGCGAAUUGCAGAAUUCAGUGAAUCAUCAAAUCUUUGAACGCAAAUUGCGCUCUCGGGAUAGCCCUGGGAGCAUGCCUCUCUGAGUAUCGGUUCCAACACUACUCGACAGCGUACUUUUAUUAUUAUUAAUAUUGGUACUGCUAACGGAAAAUGAGUGUCUCAAUUACUGAACAAAUUGAGUCACUUGAAAAUCAUACGAAACUUCAGAACUCCUAGUAGCAAACUUUUAGCUGGUCUUCGGACUAUCUAGAAUAGCCCUUGGACUAUAUCCUUGUUGAUUUCUCUUAGUCAAAAAAUCGUAUUAUUUGAUUUAGUGGAAUUGCAGGACAAAGGUGGCUUGUUUACUGGUGACGUGGAUAGAAUGCCUUCGGGUAUUUCAAAACGUCAAUGCCUUUAUUCGAGUCCAAACUUUUCCUGUAUAUUUUUUUUGCUAUUCAUUUAAUUCCGUUCAGUCCUAGUACUUAAGAGUGGUCAAUGUCUUUUUAGUAAGAGGGAUAUGUCUUUGGUGUGAACUGCUUUCUGGUGUGAGCCGCUGAUUAUAGUUUCCGAAGAAAUUAAACUAUCAAAGGGUUUUUAUUUUCCCUUUGGUUCUUUGAAAAUAGAUCUCAGAUGAAGCAAGAGGACCCCCUGAAUUUAAGCAUAUUAUUAAGGGGAGGAAAAGAAACUAACAAGGAUUCCCCUAGUAACGGCGAGUGAAGCGGGAUGAGCUCAAAUUGAAAAUCGGCAACCCAUGCGGGUUGUCGAAUUGUAGCCUAGAGACGUAUUGUCAGCGUGUGGCCCAGGUAUAAAUCUUUUGAAACAAGGUAUCAUAGAGGGUGAGAAUCCCGUCUUUGACCUGGAGAUCGCCGCGUACGACGUACGUUCGUAGAGUCGAGUUGCUUGGGAAUGCAGCUCUAAAUGGGUGGUAAAUUUCAUCUAAAGCUAAAUAUCGACGAGAGACCGAUAGCGAACAAGUACCGUGAGGGAAAGAUGAAAAGAACUUUGAAAGAGAGUUAAAAAGUACUUGAAAUUGUUAAGAGGGAAGCGCUGGAAACCAGUCAUUAUCUAUAAUUAUACUUACUAUUUGCUCUCGAAGGAUAUUGCGGAUUAGAGCGUAAGCCUAGUCGGGUAUCGGACGAAGGGUAAGUGGGUCCUGUAAUUGUAGAUGGGUCAGAAUCAAUUCGAUUCGCGGGUGAAGACUAUGGGAAAGGUAGGAUCUCCGGAUCUGUUAUAGUCCUAUAGGCCUGACCGUGGGUUGGAUUGAGGAUGUUUAAUAUGCGCCGCAAGGUUUCGAUUGCUUAUUUCUGCUGGGUCAGCUGCUUUGGAGAACAAUGUUCUGCGGGUGGCGAAGCCUGGUACUAAGUGGGACAAUCAGAUGCAUAUUCGCGAUUCUGACGAAAUGGUUUUCAUCGACCCGUCUUGAAACACGGACCAAGGAGUCUAACAUGUAUGCGAGUAUUUGGGUGGUAAACCCUGAUGCGUAAUGAAAGUGAAGGUAGUUUCGGCUACUGAGGUAGGAAUCCCUGUCACAGGGGAGGCACUAUCGACCGAUCGUCACUUGUGAUAGAUUUGAGUAAGAGCAUAUCUGUUGGGACCCGAAAGAUGGUGAUCUAUGCCUGAACAGGGUGAAGCCAGGGGAAACUCUGGUGGAGGCUCGUAGCGAUACUGACGUGCAAAUCGUUCGUCUGAUUUGGGUAUAGGGGCGAAAGACUAAUCGAACCAUCUAGUAGCUGGUUCCCUC